CCUACGGGGGGCUGCAGUGGGGAAUAUUGGACAAUGGGGGGAACCCUGAUCCAGCCAUGCCGCGUGUGUGAAGAAGGCCCUCGGGUUGUAAAGCACUUUCAGUGAGGAAGAACGCCUGGUGGUUAAUACCCAUCAGGAAAGACAUCACUCACAGAAGAAGCACCGGCUAACUCCGUGCCAGCAGCCGCGGUAAUACGGAGGGUGCGAGCGUUAAUCGGAAUUACUGGGCGUAAAGCGCGCGUAGGUGGCUUGAUAAGCCGGUUGUGAAAGCCCCGGGCUCAACCUGGGAACGGCAUCCGGAACUGUCACGCUAGAGUGCAGGAGAGGAAGGUAGAAUUCCCGGUGUAGCGGUGAAAUGCGUAGAGAUCGGGAGGAAUACCAGUGGCGAAGGCGGCCUUCUGGACUGACACUGACACUGAGGUGCGAAAGCGUGGGUAGCAAACAGGAUUAGAUACCCGAGUAGUC
rnacentral:rRNA from 1 species